rnacentral:misc_RNA from 1 species
AACGGUCUAUACCUGCGGUACCUGCGGAGGGAUCAUUACACAAUAAUAUAUGAAGGCUGCUCGCGGCUGGAGUAUUUAUUACCCUUGUCUUUUGCGCACUUGUUGUUUCCUGGGCGGGCUCGCCCGCCACCAGGACCACAUACAAACCUUUUUUAUGUAGUUGCAAUCAGCGUCAGUAUAACAAAUGUAAAUCAUUUACAACUUUCAACAAUGGAUCUCU